GAACGAACGCUGGCCGCAUGCCUAACACAUGCAAGUCGAACGAGACCUUCGGGUCUAGUGGCGCACGGGUGCGUAACGCGUGGGAACCUGCCCUUAGGUUCGGAAUAACUCCCCGAAAGGGGUGCUAAUACCGGAUAAUGUCUUCGGACCAAAGAUUUAUCGCCUUUGGAUGGGCCCGCGUUGGAUUAGCUAGUUGGUAGGGUAAAAGCCUACCAAGGCGACGAUCCAUAGCUGGUCUGAGAGGAUGAUCAGCCACACUGGGACUGAGACACGGCCCAGACUCCUACGGGAGGCAGCAGCGGGGAAUAUUGGACAAUGGGCGAAAGCCUGAUCCAGCAAUGCCGCGUGAGUGAUGAAGGCCUUAGGGUUGUAAAGCUCUUUUACCCGGGAUGAUAAUGACAGUACCGGGAGAAUAAGCUCCGGCUAACUCCGUG
rnacentral:rRNA from 1 species